CUCAAUUCGCGGCGCCACUGUGAAACAACGCGAAUCGUUUAUUUAAAAAAUAAUAAUAAUAAAGGCACGCAUUACAACCAUCAUCAUCAUCAUCAUCAUCACCGUCAUCAUCAUCAUCAUCACCAAGCAAAUCAAAUCACCAUUUUAAUCAGGAUUUUAUUUUAAAUCACUAAAAAUUAUCUUCUUGUAAGUGAAGACGAAACGUGAAAAACCGAGAAAGAUCCGAGUGGUCCUUACUGUUGCCAUGACAACACACCCAAGCCCAGGAACAGCAUCCGUCUCCAUCAGGAUGGAGCUCCUUCUUAUGGAUUUAAUAAUUUUACUGAUCUGAGUGAGUCAAGAUGAACAGACUACAGGACGAAAAAAACAGAAGAACCAGAUGGACUCUAUUAUUUCUCCUUUUCCUUUUGCAAAAAUGUUGAAUGUUAGAAAUAAACCACAAGUAAAGAAUUCAGCUCAUUAAAUUUCCAUUCAGCUUCUUUGUGUUUCUUUUUGUGUGUUUUUUUUACGUUGUCAUGUUUUUAAUUCUCUUGAACAUCAGCUCUGACGGUGUCACAGCUCCAAAUCACAGGUUGUUAUUAAUGCUCUUGUUCUGAUACGUGAUCAUUUCUAUAGUAACAGCUCAAUCACAGGGACAUGUAUUUAAACUUGAACUUCAAAUAAAGAUGUG